CUGUUUUUAUAAUCCAGAGACAAAAUUCACUAAAAUUCCCAUAUGAGAUCAGGAUAGAGUCAAGCAAAUACAGAGAAGCUUUGUUUCUUCCUCCUUCUCACCCUCUCUGAUAUGAAAAAUUGGAUGCUGAGAGAGUUCUACUUUUCUGAAAACUUUAAGACUGGACACCCAAGAAAGCUGGUGGUAUAAUUCCACACUGAAGCUGAAGGGGAGCUGAUGGUGUAAAUCCCAGUUGAAAAGCAAAAGACAUGUCACAGCUCAACAGGCAGGCAGGCAGUCAAAAUGUUGUUUUUUAGAUGCCUUAUCAUGCUGACUAGAGACAGAAAAGGAUUCUUACAGUAGAAUGGGGAAAUAGAUGAAAGAAAUUCCAUACAUUUUAAAGAGGUUUCCAAUGGAUGCUCUCUGGUUGGACCCACCUGUCUCAUAAAGGAGAAAUGGAGAACUAUGAUUGGACUCCCUCCAUCAAAUUUAUAUGGAGCUGGGGAGAAGAAGAACUUUAUGAAAUGAAGGUGACCAUAACAAGAAGAAAGCAUAAAGAGAUGAUGGACAAAUAGAAAUACUUUGCUCUACUCUCUCCUGUGAGGCAGACCCACCUUCCUGGGUCACUGCCAGUACAAGAAGAUUCAAGUGAAGCAAAAGGCUGACCACAUGGCUCGAGUCCCUGGUCAACUCCUACAAGGAUAUAAGGUAAUAAACUUCAGCUCUUCUGAAAUCUAUGGUUGCCUUCAACAGUGGAAAUGGCUAGAGAGUAGAACAGAUAAGACCAUGAGAAAUUUGACCACAGGCUGAUUAACUCCACUGACUUAAUUAGAGUCAGCAGGAGAAGGAACAGAAGAUAAUAUUUGCCCCUUUGAUAAUAUUGCCACUUUGACAUGAGAGAAAACUCAAACACUGCGUACAGAGCUCACUGACAUUAUGGUAAUGAUAGACAAGCAUCAUACUUCAUUAAUUUUCUAUUACUGCUGUUACACAUUACUCCAAAUUUAGUGUUUUAGACCAACAACUACUUAUAUCUUAUAUGGGUCAGAAAUGCACGUGGGGUUAGCCAGGUGCUCUGGUUAGGGUCUAACAGGGCUUAAAUCAAAGUGUAAACUGGCUGAGUGCUUAGCUAUGGACUCUAAGAUCCAUUUACAAGUUUAUUCAGAUUUUUGGCAUAACUUGUUUCUUUGCGGUCAUGGUUACUGAUGUCCCAUUUCUUUGACAUGUUGCCCCCACCAUCUUCAAGCCAGUCACGGUGCUUCAAAUAUUUCUUAUCCUUUAAAUCUCUCUGACUUCUGUCAAAUCUCUCUGAUGUCCUCCUGUGCUUUAAAGAGCUCAUGUGAUUCCACUGGGCCAUCUAGCUAAUCCAGAAUAAUCUCACUAUCUUGAGGUCAACAGAUCUGUCACUUUAAUUAUACUUGUAACGUCUCUUUUGCCAUGUAACAUAAUAAAGUCACAGGUGUUACACAAGGGGACAAAGACCACGGGGGCCAAAAUUCUGCCUAUCACACAUGUAUACAAUAUCAAAAUUUUAAAGAUGACACAGAUUAACAUAUAGCAUAGUUAGGCUCUACAAUUCCAACAUUCACCCACAAUACGCUUGCCCUGCACGUGAUAUCUGGCCACUUACAGAAGCAGAAAAGCUCUUCUAGUCUUUGUUUAGACAGUAUAUGGCUUUAGAUACAUCAUUUAAUUUUUCCAUGCCUCUGUAUUUUUAUCUCAAAAAAGAAGUAAUACAUGUUACCAUACCUAACUGGAUUAACUGAUGUAAGCAUCACACACACGCAAAAGCAAAUAGUGGUAUUUCAAGAAUUUAGUGACUAUUUCUUAUUUCUUAUCAUUGAGACUACAACAAGAUUAGAAUCACUACUCUUGGUAUAAAAAAAAAGAAAUAAGAAAAGUCAAUGUUUAGAAGAUGAUGUAUUUAUAUUUUUUAACUCUAAUGAACUUUAAAAAUCCUAUGGAAAAAUCCAUAUGGUGUGUAUAAGUGCAAAUAGAAAAAAAACAUCAGAUGAGGAAUCUAUUUCUUUUCAUGUUUCAUUUUGCCAAGAGAUAAUGCAGUCCUCGCUCUGGAAUCUCAUCUGUCACACUGUGCUCUAUAAAGUGACAGGACACGAUGUGACAUGUUGAUGAGACCCUACGUGACACAGGGCAUGGUUUGUGGUCUGUGUUGGCACAGAUAAUUAGGAAAACCCUGGAAAAGAGUAGUUUGAGAGGGAUUGAAUGAGGAAUUAUUAGGACAGAUAAAUAAAAGGUAAGGAUGAGCACACCUUUUUUAAUAAAAUACAACAUGCAGAAUAUUAGAUAGUCUCCCCUUGGACCCAAAUUUUAUAAUCAUCUGUUGGCAUUUAACCUUCAGAUAUGAUUAAGAUAGCAAAGCUCAUACCAUAGCAUUCCCUUGUAAGAGGAGAAUAUAGUGAUAUGAGGUAAUUGAAUUUUGUUCUGACCCUCUUUGGCCUCUGUGCAGAAGCAAUUUGUGAAUUAUUUAGGGAAAAAAGGAAAAGGAUAUUUGCCUCAAGAGAGAAAUGCUGGGUGCAAAGAAGAAUUUAGUUCAGUGGCACUGUCUCUUAGAAUACAUCUGCUUUCCCAGCUUGAAAUGAAAAUCGAAAUGGAAAUUUCUAUUCAUCCUUAUGCAUUAACAAGAUCCCUUCCUUUCACUGCCAUGCUUCAUAUGUCCUAAACUAGACCAAUGGCAGAUCUAAAACUUUAUAAAUCAUGCUGAAGCCUUUGUUAUUAAAAUGACAAUUUAUGAGUGAGCCAAUAAAUGAACAUAACCCCACUGUAAAUAAAAACAGCAUGAAUAUUUGAGCUUUUCAAGCCAAAACUAAAGCCAAAAUUAAGAGCAGUAGAGAUGUUAAUUGUACCAUUCCUGUUCAGUUAUACCUCUGUAUAUUUAUACACUUUAAAAAAAGAGCUGUAGUUUAUAGGCCAAAGAAUGGUGGUGAAAUGAAUAAAAAUUCCUUUUUUCUUGUCUCUUUCUUUGGUUUUGAAGUACUUUUUUAAUGUUGUGAUUAUAUAACUUUCCGUCUGAACGAAUAAAACAUGCUGGUAUUAUCACUGAGCUUUAUUUUUUUUUUAAUUUUUUUUAACGUUUAUUUAUUUUUGAGACAGAGAGAGACAGAGCAUGAAUGGGAGAGGG